AAGAUGUAACUCAGUUUUCAAACAAUCAAUACAAUGAAUUAAUACUCUCCAAAACUCUUUCUUCCAAGACAAGUAAUCAUUCUCAACUUAUCAUAAAAAUAUCAGUCAAGAUGUAAGAUGCAUUACUUCCAUUAAACUCAAUAUGGUGUUCUCAUAAUCACAAUCUUUCCAACAGAUGAUAUUAUCAUGAAUGACCAAUUAACCAAGCAUAGAUGCAAUCAUGUAUAAUUAGAACUACUCCUCACCAAGGAAAGUGUUUCACUCAAGCAUACAGGUGUAUAUUGAGCUGACUCAUUCUCUCUACUAUCACAAUGUCACACAAAUUAACUUUGCCUUUCAUUUAACCACAAUCAAUCAUACUCACAAGCAAGUUAUCAUCACAAGGACUUUUNAUGNNUUNUAANNNNGUUGGGCUAAGAAGAACAUUGGUUUUUCUGGAUCACAAAAUCCUUGAGUUAAGAGAGUUAUUCAAUUUUAUAGUUUAAACACAAACUCUCUUUAAACAACCAAUCUCACUCAUUCCCAACUUUUCCUUUUCUUUGCAUUGAGCUUUUCCUCUCAUUUUAUCUUUUUUUUUUUCUUUCUUUUUCAUUUUUUUAUGUUUUGCUCAACACAUUAGCUCAAUGCUUAUCUUUUUCUUUUUCAACUUUCCCAACAGCCCCAAACUUGAACCUUUAUCAAU
rnacentral:lncRNA from 1 species